rnacentral:rRNA from 1 species
UACGUAGGGAGCAAGCGUUGUCCGGAAUCAUUGGGCGUAAAGCGCGCGUAGGUGGCCUCAUAAGUCCGCUCUGAAAGUCCGGGGCUCAACCCCGGGAGGCGGGCGGAUACUGUCGGGCUAGAGUCCGGAAGAGGCGAGUGGAAUUCCUGGUGUAGCGGUGAAAUGCGCAGAUAUCAGGAGGAACACCAAUGGCGAAGGCAGCUCGCUGGGACGGUACUGACGCUGAGGCGCGAAAGCGUGGAGAGCAAACAGG